rnacentral:rRNA from 1 species
AGGACGAACGCUAGCGGCGUGCCUAAGGUAUGCAAGUCGAACGGACCCGCAAGGGUUAGUGGCGAACGGUUGAGUAACACGUAGACAACCUGCCUCGAAGUGGGGGACAACAGCGGGAAACUGCUGCUAAUACCGCAUGUGGCCCUGUUCCGCCUGGGACGGUGGCUAAAGGCGCAAGUCGCUUCGAGAUGGGUCUGCGGCCUAUCAGUUUGUUGGUGGGGUAACGGCCUACCAAGACGACGACGGGUAGCUGGUCUGAGAGGAUGAUCAGCCAGACGGGGACUGAGACACGGCCCCGACUCCUUCGGGAGGCAGCAAUGAGGAAUAUUGCGCAAUGGGCGAAAGCCUGACGCAGCGACGCCGCGUGGGUGAGGAAGUUCUUCGGAAUGUAAAGCCCUUUUGUCGGGGACGAUCACAGACGGUACCCGGCGAAUAACGCCCCGGCUAACUACGUGCCAGCAGCCGC